rnacentral:rRNA from 1 species
AACAGGAUUAGAUACCCUGGUAGUCCACGCCCUAAACGAUGUCUACUAGUUGUCGGGUCUUAAUUAACUUGGUAACGCAGCUAACGCGUGAAGUAGACCGCCUGGGGAGUACGGUCGCAAGAUUAAAACUCAAAGGAAUUGACGGGGACCCGCACAAGCGGUGGAUGAUGUGGAUUAAUUCGAUGCAACGCGAAAAACCUUACCUACCCUUGACAUGGAAGGAAUCCUGGAGAGAUCUGGGAGUGCCCGAAAGGGAACCUCCACACAGGUGCUGCAUGGCUGUCGUCAGCUCGUGUCGUGAGAUGUUGGGUUAAGUCCCGCAACGAGCGCAACCCUUGUCAUUAGUUGCUACGCAAGAGCACUCUAAUGAGACUGCCGGUGACAAACCGGAGGAAGGUGGGGAUGACGUCAAGUCCUCAUGGCCCUUAUGGGUAGGGCUUCACACGUCAUACAAUGGUACAUACAGAGGGCCGCCAACCCGCGAGGGGGAGCUAAUCCCAGAAAGUGUAUCGUAGUCCGGAUUGUAGUCUGCAACUCGACUACAUGAAGUUGGAAUCGCUAGUAAUCGCGGAUCAGCAUGUCGCGGUGAAUACGUUCCCGGGUCUUGUACACACCGCCCGUCACACCAUGGGAGCGGGUUUUACCAGAAGUAGGUAGCUUAACCGCAAGGAGGGCGCUUACCACGGUAGGAUUCGUGACCGGGGUGAAGUCGUAACAAGGUAACC